rnacentral:lncRNA from 1 species
ACUUAAACAAUCAAAUUAUGAUAACUUGGGCGUCUUACUUUAUUUUAUAUAUUAAGUCAUAACAUUUUGAUAUAACCUUUUGACUUAACCACUUAAAGACCCCAAGUGGCUUUCCAUAAUAGUGUUUGAAAUCUAAUACAAUAUACAAAUAUUUUGUAGGCUCAUUCCAGUGCCUGGCCAUUCUUAAAACCUGUGGAGAAAAAUGAAGCCCCAGACUAUUAUGAACACAUAAAAUUCCCAAUGGGUAAGUUACACUUAGGUAGAUAUUGACUUAACUGAUGCAUUUAGUCUGUCAGGUAUAUUUUUUUAUUACAUUAUAAUUUGUAAAGGAUGUUAGACAUUUCUAUGAGUGCUGUCCUAUUUCUCUUGAUAUAAGUGCCUCUUUAGGUGAUAAUAAAUUGCCAUCUAAUGGGAACAAAUUUGUGUUUUAAUGCAGAGCUAAGAAAUAAUAUGAUUUUAGAAAGGGGAAAAGUUUAAAGUUUUUUUAUAUAUAUUGUUUUAACUGUUAAAGAUGAUUAUUAAUGAUAACUAAAUAAAGAAUUAUUAUCAUUCAGUAUUAUGUUCUUAGAACGCUUACUCGCUGUUACAUUAAUAGAUGUGGUAUGAGUGCCAAUGAGACAACUCUCCAUUCAAGUCACAAUUUGUAAAAGUUAACCAUUUUAGGUCAAAUACGGCCCUCAACAUGGAGCCUUGGCUCACACUGAUUAGCAAAUUAUAUAGGUCCCCAAAAGUGACUAGUGUAAAACAGGAAAACCAAUGGUCUAAUAUAUAUUAAAAUCUAGACACAAGAAACACCUAUGAACCAUAUUAGUAAUGACAACCACUGAACCGAGUUUGUAAUUAAAUGAGCAACAUGAUGGGUACCACAUGUGGAGUAGGAUCUGCUUACCCUUCCAGAGCACCUGAGAUAACCCCCCGUUUUUGGGGGUUAGUGUUGCUUAGUUUAGAUUUCGAUAUUGUGUUUUUUUUACUAUUUUUUGUCUGUUUGUCUUUCUAUUUUUUAGCCAUGGUGUUUUCAGUUUAUUUUCGAUCUAUGAGUUUGCUGUCCCUCUGGUAUCUUUUGCCACUCUUUCCUGACUUAAGACAGGCCCAUACAAAUGCAGCAGGUUUAAAUGUUUUAACAUGCACCAACCUUGACCCUAAUCUGAAAUGAUAGUGUAACUUAACAUAGAAAGACACACUUAAAUAUCAGUUGAAGUGGCUUAACUUAAUCAAAAGACAUAUUAACAAAAACAAGCAAAAAACACACUGAACAAAUAAGUUUUAUCUAUGACACAAUGUAUAUAAUAAUACUUGUUUAUUGUACUCAAUUUUUGUUUUCUAUACCGUUAAUCUAUAACAAAAAGUAUUGAAACAUUCUAUAUUUAUUUUUAGAUUUGAAAACCAUGGGAGAUAGAAUAAAGAAUCGGUACUAUUGUCAUAAGAAAUUAUUCAUGGCAGAUAUGAACAGAAUUUUUACUAACUGUCGAUCUUACAAUAAACCGGAUACAGAGUAUUAUAAGUGUGCCAAUGUUACAGAAAAAUUCUUCCAAACAAAAUGGAAAGAUGCUGGAUUAGGAGAGAAAACAUGAAAAAAUUUAAGAAAUUUAGUUGAUGGAAAAACACAAGAUUUUUUAUAAAAUCAAGUCAUUUCUGAUGUGAACAUGGUCAUCUGAUUUGAAAACAAGGAAGUAAAUUGUAGAAAACUAAUUAAAUGAUAUUUCUAUGUUCCUGUUAGUUUAUACCAGUCUCAAACAAUGAUACAAAAGGACAAUGAUCAUGAGUAUUUUUCUGAAUGUUUCUGUUAGUAUAUAUCAUAAUCAGUCUCAAACAAUGAUACGGAAGGACAAUGAUCUGUUUUACUGGAUCUGCAAUAAAGGAUGUUAAUGUUAUUGAUGAUAAUGUAAAAUGAUGUUAUGUUACUGUAUAAACAUGUCAAAUAAAGAAAAAAGCCUA